GGCCUCUUAGCAUAUCCGGUAAAUGCACAAAGUCGCAAUAACGUGGGUUCUGUUCAUGCGUAUAUUAAUUACAUUUGCAACUUUGAGAAAGCUGGUUCGAAUCCAGCAGAGGCCA